AUGUACUCGUGGGAGAUGCUGUCGUUCAACAUCCACGACGGGUUCCUGGAGGCGAUCGUGCGGGGGAACCGCUCGGGCCUCCUCACCCAAGCCGAUUACAACAACCUCUGCCAGUGCGAGACCCUCGACGACAUCAAGAUGCACCUCUCCGCCACCGAGUACGGUCCAUACCUCCAGAACGAACCUUCUCCCUUGCACACGACAACAAUUGUGGAGAAGUGCACUCUCAAGCUGGUUGAUGAAUACAAACACAUGUUGUGCCAGGCGAAUGAACCUCUAUCUACAUUCCUACAGUACAUAACGUAUGGACACAUGAUCGAUAAUGUUGUACUUAUUGUUACUGGGACAUUGCAUGAAAGAGAUGUUAACGAACUGUUGGAGAAAUGCCAUCCAUUGGGCAUGUUUGACAGCAUUGCAUCACUUGCGGUUGCUCAAAAUAUGCGUGAGCUUUACAGGCUGGUUCUAGUUGAUACACCCUUAGCACCGUACUUCUCAGAGUGCAUUACAUCUGAGGAUCUGGAUGACAUGAAUAUUGAGAUCAUGAGGAACACACUCUACAAAGCGUAUCUUGAGGAUUUUUACAAAUUUUGCGCGAAACUAGGUGGUGCGACGGCUGAGAUUAUGUGUAAUCUCCUUUCAUUUGAAGCCGACAGAAGAGCUGUAAACAUUACAAUAAACAGUAUUGGUACUGAGCUGACUAGAGAUGACCGCCGGAAGCUGUACUCCAACUUUGGUCUAUUGUUUCCGUAUGGUCAUGAAGACUUGGCUGUCUGUGAAGAUGUUGACCAGGUGCGUGGUGUAAUGGAAAAGUACCCCCCAUACCAGUCUAUUUUUGCCAAGAUAUCAUAUGGCGAAAGCCAGAUGUUGGACAAGGCCUUUUAUGAGGAGGAAGUAAAGAGGCUGUGCCUGUCAUUUGAACAGCAGUUCCACUAUGCCGUUUUCUUCGCAUACAUGAGGCUACGAGAGCAGGAGAUAAGGAACUUGAUGUGGAUCUCUGAAUGCGUUGCUCAGAACCAGAAGAACAGGGUCCACGACAGCGUCGUGCCGAUCUUUUAA
rnacentral:rRNA from 1 species